rnacentral:lncRNA from 1 species
ACACCUCCCAUACCACACUACAUACCACACCACACACUACAUACCACGCUACAUACCACACCACACCCUACAUACCACGCUACAUACCACACCACACACUACAUACCACGCUACAUACCACACCACACACUACAUACCACGCCAAGAAUAGUAAUCACCUUCCAUACCACACGCUACAUACCACACUACACACUACAUACCACGCUACAUACCACACCACACACUACAUACCACGCCAAGAAUAGUAAACACCUUCCAUACCACACACUACAUACCACACCACACACUACAUACCACACUACAUACCACACCACACACUACAUACCACGCUACAUACCACACCACACACUACAUACCACGCUACAUACCACACCACACACUACAUACCACGCUACAUACCACACCACACACUACAUACCACACUACAUACCACACCACACACUACAUACCACGCUACAUACCACGCCAAGAAUAGUAAACACCUUCCAUACCACACGCUACAUACCACACCACACACUACAUACCACGCUACAUACCACACCACACACUACAUACCACGCUACAUUCCACACCAAGAAUAGUAAACACCUUCCAUACCACACCACACACUACAUACCACGCUACAUACCACACCACACACUACAUACCACGCUACAUACCACACCACACACUACAUGCCACGCCACAUACUACACCACACACUACAUACCACACCACACACUACAUACCACGCCAAGAAUAGUAAACACCUCCCAUACCACACUACAUACCACACCACACACUACAUACCACGCUACAUACCACACCACACCCUACAUACCACGCUACAUACCACACCACACACUACAUACCACGCUACAUACCACACCACACACUACAUACCACGCCAAGAAUAGUAAACACCUUCCAUACCACGCCACAUACCACACCACACACUACAUACCACGCUACAUACCACACCACACACUACAUACCACGCCAAGAAUAGUAAACACCUUCCAUACCACGCUACAUACCACACCACACACUACAUACCACACCACACACUACAUACCACGCCAAGACUAG